rnacentral:rRNA from 1 species
AAUAUUGGACAAUGGGCGAAAGCCUGAUCCAGCCAUGCCGUGUGUGUGAAGAAGGUCUUCGGAUUGUAAAGCUCUUUACGUUGGGAGGAAGGGUUGUAGGUUAAUACUCUGCAAUCUUGACGUUAUCAACAGAAUAAGCACCGGCUAACUUCGUGCCAGCAGCCGCGGUAAUACGAAGGGUGCAAGCGUUUAUCGGAAUAACUGGGCGUAAAGAGCGCGUAGGUGGUUCGGUAAGUAGAAAGAGAAAGCCGCGGACUUAACCUGGGAAUAGCUUUCAAUACAAACGAACUAGAGUACGGUAGAGGGUAGGGGAAUGUCCUGUGUAGCGGUGAAAUGCGUAGAUAAAGGAAGGAAAAUAAGUGGCGAAGGCGACAACCUGGACUGAUAAUGACACUGAGGUGCGAAACCGUGGGGAGCAAACAGG